rnacentral:rRNA from 1 species
GACAGAGGGUGCAAACGUUGUUCGGAAUUACUGGGCGUAAAGCGCGUGUAGGCUGCUCGGAAAGUCGGAUGUGAAAGCCCUGGGCUCAACCUAGGAAGUGCAUUCGAAACUUCCGAGCUGGAGUGCCGGAGAGGAAGGCGGAAUUCUCGGUGUAGAGGUGAAAUUCGUAGAUAUCGAGAGGAACACCGGUGGCGAAGGCGGCCUUCUGGACAGCGACUGACGCUGAGACGCGAAAGCGUGGGGAGCAAACAGG